rnacentral:rRNA from 1 species
GACGAACGCUGGCGGCGCGCUUAACACAUGCAAGUCGAGCGAAGCGGCGGACGGGUGAGUAACACGUGAGUAACCUGCCUUAGACACUGGGAUAGCCUCGGGAAACCGGGAUUAAUACCAAAUGGUCUAAGAUGGAUUCGCGUCACAUUAGCUAGUUGGUGGGUAACGGCGCACCAAGGCGACGAUGGGUAGCCGGCUUGGAAGGGUGACCCGGCACAAUGGAACAGGGGAACGGUCCAAACUCUACGGGGGGCAUCAGUGGGGAAUAUUGCACAAUAGGGAGAGCGAAGAUGCAGCGACGCCGCGUGAGCGAAGAUGGCUUUCAAGUCGUAAAGUUCUUUUAUAUGGGAAGCGGUACCAAAAAAAAAAGCCCCGGCUAACUACGUGCCAGCAGCCGCGUAAUUC